rnacentral:rRNA from 1 species
CACGUAGGGCGCAAGCGUUGUCCGGAAUUAUUGGGCGUAAAGAGCUCGUAGGCGGUCUGUUGCGUCCGCUGUGAAAACUCGGGGCUUAACCCCGAGCCUGCAGUGGAUACGGGCAGACUAGAGGUAGGUAGGGGAGAAUGGAAUUCCCGGUGUAGCGGUGAAAUGCGCAGAUAUCGGGAGGAACACCGGUGGCGAAGGCGGUUCUCUGGGCAUGUCCUGACGCUGAGGAGCGAAAGUGUGGGGAGCGAACAGG